rnacentral:rRNA from 1 species
UACGGGGGGGGCAAGCGUUGUUCGGAAUUACUGGGCGUAAAGGGCUCGUAGGCGGCCAACUAAGUCGGAUGUGAAAUCCCCAGGCUUAACCUGGGAACUGCAUCCGAUACUGGAUGGCUUGAAUUCGGGAGAGGGAUGCAGAAUUCCAGGUGUAGCGGUGAAAUGCGUAGAUAUCUGGAGGAACACCGGUGGCGAAGGCGGCAUCCUGGACCAUAACUGACGCUGAUCCGCGAAAGCUAGGGGAGCAAACGGG